rnacentral:lncRNA from 1 species
UGUGUGGCAUGUGAAGUGCCUCAAUUAGGGACAUGUGGUUUGGAUGAUGACCUCUACCCGCAUCAAUAACCGAAACGGUUAAUGGCGAUUUGGUGGCGGACAUCAGAGUUUGGUGAUGGUAGUCAUGACUCCGGCGGUUAUUGGGGCUUAAGUUUACUUAGUUCAAAGGCUUAGUGUCAACUACCGUGAAUUUGUAUCUGUACCGUCAGUUUAUAUGAAUUGGAGUUAAUUAUUGCUGCAUGAAUGUGUAUAUGCAUCCU